rnacentral:lncRNA from 1 species
AAGCAUACAUUUUUGUUAAUGUCCUUUUUUCUGUUGAACUAAUAGGAGAAAUAGAGGUAAUAUCGAAAUAAAAAAAUAACCUAAUUACAGAAAUCGCUUAAAUUUUACAAUUAUUUAGUUUAUGUACAGCUUAUAUGAAAACAAUAAAAAAAAUAUAGGUCACCGAUGAGUUAAAAAAGGUAUUUCAAAUUUAAUGCCAAAAAAUGACAUUUUUGCACCAAAGGGAGAUAAUUUGGAGCUUUUUUUCAAUGAUAUAAACAUUUUAAAAGUCAUCUGGGGC